rnacentral:snRNA from 1 species
CUUGAGUUCAACUCUCAAUGAAAGCAC